rnacentral:rRNA from 1 species
GACGAACGCUGGCGGCGUGCCUAAUACAUGCAAGUAGAACGCUGAAGCGAGGAGCUUGCUCUUCUUGGAUGAGUUGCGAACGGGUGAGUAACGCGUAGGUAACCUGCCUUGUAGCGGGGGAUAACUAUUGGAAACGAUAGCUAAUACCGCAUAACAAUGGAUGACACAUGUCAUUUAUUUGAAAGGGGCAAUUGCUCCACUACAAGAUGGACCUGCGUUGUAUUAGCUAGUAGGUGAGGUAAUGGCUCACCUAGGCGACGAUACAUAGCCGACCUGAGAGGGUGAUCGGCCACACUGGGACUGAGACACGGCCCAGACUCCUACGGGAGGCAGCAGUAGGGAAUCUUCGGCAAUGGGGGCAACCCUGACCGAGCAACGCCGCGUGAGUGAAGAAGGUUUUCGAAUCGUAAAGCUCUGUUGUAAGUCAAGAACGGGUGUGAGAGUGGAAAGUUCACACUGUGACGGUAGCUUACCAGAAAGGGACGGCUAACUACGUG